rnacentral:rRNA from 1 species
GAUGAACGCUGGCGGCGUGCCUAAUACAUGCAAGUCGAGCGAACGGACGAGAAGCUUGCUUCUCUGAUGUUAGCGGCGGACGGGUGAGUAACACGUGGAUAACCUACCUAUAAGACUGGGAUAACUUCGGGAAACCGUAGCUAAUACCGGAUAAUAUUUUGAACCGCAUGGUUCAAAAGUGAAAGACGGUCUUGCUGUCACUUAUAGAUGGAUCCGCGCUGCAUUAGCUAGUUGGUAAGGUAACGGCUUACCAAGGCAACGAUGCAUAGCCGACCUGAGAGGGGGUGCGGCCACACUGGAACUGAGACACGGCCCAGCCUCCUACGGGGGGCAGCAGUAGGGAAUCUUCCGCAAUGGGCGAAAGCCGGACGGGGCAACGCCGGGUGGGUGAUGAAGGUCUUCGGAUCGUAAAACUCUUUUAUUAGGGAAAAAAAUAUGUGUAAGUAACUGGGCACAUCUUGACGGUACCUAAUCAAAAAGCCACGGCUAACUACGG